CUAACAUCAAAGAACAAGAAAGUAAAUGAUUUCAUUCAUCAUAGCGAGUCAGCACAGAGUGGAAGGCUGACAUGAACAAUCAUUGAAACGAGCUUGUGAGAUGCUUUUCUGAAAUAAGUCAGCUGUCAAAAAGCGAGUGUGAAUCGUAACGGUUCGCCCAGUUUGAGUCAGUCUCUGUCUUAAGUAGAAAAGUCGUGUGCAGCGUUAAUGCUUUGAGUUGGCAGACAGCCAUUGAUUUUUUUCAAAACAAUACUAAUUUGUCUGCAAAUAGAGUGGUACCGCGAUGCAAUCGUCUCUGUG
rnacentral:ncRNA from 1 species